AAGCGCGCGUAGGUGGUUUGUUAAGUUGGAUGUGAAAUCCCCGGGCUCAACCUGGGAACUGCAUCCAAAACUGGCAAGCUAGAGUAUGGUAGAGGGGUGGUGGAAUUUCCUGUGUAGCGGUGAAAUGCGUAGAUAUAGGAAGGAACACCAGUGGCGAAGGCGACCACCUGGACUGAUACUGACACUGAGGUGCGAAAGCGUGGGGAGCAAACAGGAUUAGAUACCCUUGU
rnacentral:rRNA from 1 species